rnacentral:rRNA from 1 species
GCAGCACGAGAGAGCUUGCUCUCUUGGUGGCGAGUGGCGGACGGGUGAGUAAUAUAUCGGAACGUGCCCAGUAGCGGGGGAUAACUACUCGAAAGAGUGGCUAAUACCGCAUACGCCCUACGGGGGAAAGGGGGGGAUUCUUCGGAACCUCUCACUAUUGGAGCGGCCGAUAUCGGAUUAGCUAGUUGGUGGGGUAAAGGCUCACCAAGGCAACGAUCCGUAGCUGGUUUGAGAGGACGACCAGCCACACUGGGACUGAGACACGGCCCAGACUCCUACGGGAGGCAGCAGUGGGGAAUUUUGGACAAUGGGGGAAACCCUGAUCCAGCCAUCCCGCGUGUAUGAUGAAGGCCUUCGGGUUGUAAAGUACUUUUGGCAGAGAAGAAAAGGUAUCUCCUAAUACGAGAUACUGCUGACGGUAUCUGCAGAAUAAGCACCGGCUAACUACGUGCCAGCAGCCGCGGUAAUACGUAGGGUGCAAGCGUUAAUCGGAAUUACUGGGCGUAAAGCGUGUGUAGGCGGUUCGGAAAGAAAGAUGUGAAAUCCCAGGGCUCAACCUUGGAACUGCAUUUUUAACUGCCGAGCUAGAGUAUGUCAGAGGGGGGUAGAAUUCCACGUGUAGCAGUGAAAUGCGUAGAUAUGUGGAGGAAUACCGAUGGCGAAGGCAGCCCCCUGGGAUAAUACUGACGCUCAGACACGAAAGCGUGGGGAGCAAACAGGAUUAGAUACCCUGGUAGUCCACGCCCUAAACGAUGUCAACUAGCUGUUGGGGCCGUUAGGCCUUAGUAGCGCAGCUAACGCGUGAAGUUGACCGCCUGGGGAGUACGGUCGCAAGAUUAAAACUCAAAGGAAUUGACGGGGACCCGCACAAGCGGUGGAUGAUGUGGAUUAAUUCGAUGCAACGCGAAAAACCUUACCUACCCUUGACAUGUCUGGAAUCCCGAAGAGAUUUGGGAGUGCUCGCAAGAGAACCGGAACACAGGUGCUGCAUG